rnacentral:rRNA from 1 species
GUAGGGAAUCUUGCGCAAUGGGCGAAAGCCUGACGCAGCCAUGCCGCGUGAAUGAUGAAGGUCUUAGGAUUGUAAAAUUCUUUCACCGGGGACGAUAAUGACGGUACCCGGAGAAGAAGCCCCGGCUAACUUCGUGCCAGCAGCCGCGGUAAUACGAAGGGGGCUAGCGUUGCUCGGAAUUACUGGGCGUAAAGGGAGCGUAGGCGGCUAGUUUAGUCAGAGGUGAAAGCCCAGGGCUCAACCUUGGAAUUGCCUUUGAUACUGGCUAUCUUGAGUAUGAAAGAGGUAUGUGGAACUCCGAGUGUAGAGGUGAAAUUCGUAGAUAAUCGGAAGAACACCAGUGGCGAAGGCGACUCACUGGCCCAAUACUGACGCUGAGGCGCGAAAGCGUGGGGAGCAAACAGGAUUAGAAACCCCUGUAGUCC